rnacentral:rRNA from 1 species
CUACGGGUUGCUCCAGUGGGGAAUAUUGCACAAUGGGGGGAACCCUGAUGCAGCAACGCCGCGUGGAGGAUGACGCAUUUCGGUGUGUAAACUCCUUUUAUAUGUCAAGAAAAUGACGGUAGCAUAUGAAUAAGCACCGGCUAACUCCGUGCCAGCAGCCGCGGUAAUACGGAGGGUGCAAGCGUUACUCGGAAUCACUGGGCGUAAAGGACGCGUAGGCGGGUUGGAAAGUCAGGUGUGAAAUCCUACAGCUUAACUGUAGAACUGCACUUGAAACUUCUAAUCUAGAGUAUGGGAGGGGGAGAUGGAAUUAGUGGUAUAGGGGUAAAAUCCGUAGAUAUCACUAGGAAUACCUAAAGCGAUGGCGACCGCAUGGAACAUUACUGACGAUAAGGAGCGAAAGCGUGGGGAGCAAACAGGAUUAGAUACCCCGGUAGUC